ACACAUGUUUCUUGGCACCAUAAGAAGGUUGGUAUUGCAGAUGGACGUAAUCGGACCACUGCCACGUUCACAAAACACCAUUAAUCGAAAACCAAUAAAUUGCCACAAGAUGCUCCACAAUGAGACAUAACGCUGGUCUUUGGUAUCAGGAAUAGCAUUAGGGAGGAGCAUCUGCAGUUUGAAAAAGUGGGCGUGUGUGUCCUCGCCUCUAAUAGGCGCUCCUAAAUCGCUAAAACUAUAACGACUAAAUUCACUCACCACAAAUACAUUUAGCACCCCUACUGACAGUGUGAAAUUGGAUGAUAACCCCGCCCACUACUCAUAUAACGGUUUUGUUAAAAAUAAAGUGCGAUAAAUCUAUACACGCUAGAGUCAUACAUUUUACACCCGAAAUGAUAGGAGAAGGCUUUAUAGGCGUCGAAGUCAAAUUGGAUGAUGGGUGUGGCUCCACCCACAUUUAGGUGAAAACCUCGAGUCCUGCUCGACCGACUUCAACCCAAUUCGGAAGUAUACAAAUCAAGAAGCAAUGAGUAUAGUAUAACGGGAUAAAACUUUGCAAUAGUACCUUUGAAGUGUACCAACUUGUGACCAAAAAUUUUCCAAAUCGAACCAAAAUAAUUCCUGAUAAUAGUAUGCCUGUGUGACGAGAAUGGAAUGGACCGGAUCUAUAAUGUCCUUAGUCCCCUAAUAUCAUAAAUAUGUAUUUAAUUGAUUUUUCCUGUAAGAUCAAAUAUAAUUGUGAGAUUGAGA